AGAGUUUGAUCAUGGCUCAGGAUGAACGCUAGCUACAGGCUUAACACAUGCAAGUCGAGGGGCAGCAUGUUGGUUGCUUGCAACCAACGAUGGCGACCGGCGCACGGGUGAGUAACGCGUAUCCAACCUACCCUUGUCCAUCGGAUAACCCGUCGAAAGGCGGCCUAACACGAUAUGCGGUUCACAGCAGGCAUCUAACGUGAACGAAAUGUAAAGGAGAAGGAUGGGGAUGCGUCUGAUUAGCUUGUUGGCGGGGUAACGGCCGACCAAGGCUACGGAUCAGUAGGGGUUCUGAGAGGAAGGUCCCCCANAUUGGAACUGAGACACGGUCCAAACUCCUACGGGAGGCA
rnacentral:rRNA from 1 species